UUUGACCCUUUGGACCAACUAGUAUUUGUAAUAAAAACGGAUGGAAUAUCAAGGAACAAACCAGUCCAACGCAGUGUAGACGAAAUUUACAGUAUAGACAUGAAACGCGUGUUUGAGUAGUUAAAGUGGAAAGAGCGCAAGAGAAUGAGAAGAAAACCCCACCCCAAAAGAAAAUUGACAGUUCCGAAUCAAAUGGAAGCCAGCUAUGAGUUUUCCAGGAACAUGUGAUGCAGAGGAAAGUGAAUUUCUUCGGAGUGGAACAGAAAAGGCAACUCAAGACUAAGGAUGGCAGCGGAUCAGCGAUUUCUUUCUAGAGUAAUAGACUCUGAUGCAGAGGAAAGUGAAUUUCUUCGGAGUGGAACAGAAAAAGCAACUCAAGACUAAGGAUGGCAACUGAGUGGCCCGCAGGAGGCUACCCCGCCCCGGUACCCGUUUAAACAAUCUCGCCAUUAAGGUCAUAUACCGCAUCAGAUACCACACUUGCUGUCAGUGUCAAUGUACAAGGUUGCAGAAUUUCUGAAGGAAGAAGCCAUAAUAUCAAAGAUACUCCUGAAGGCAGGCAAUUUGUAACUAUGGAACAGAAGUUGACCAGAAUGUUGUAUUACAAACAGAUCAGCGUUCAUUGGGAGCCAAGACAAAGCAUGGAAAACUUUCAAUGUUUUGGUUCCACCAAAAACAUUACAAGCAAAAAGAUCCAUCAACCUUUAACAAAUAAGGAUUGAACUGUGUCCUCUUUAUACUUAAUCUUUAUACAAAAAGAUCCUCAUUAUGGCGGAAAGUACAUACUUUUCAUCACAUUCCACCAUAUGGUGAAACCUAGCAAUAUUGACC